rnacentral:ncRNA from 2 species
UGACAUUUACCGCGCCCUGUUGUCCUCUGUCGUUUUGGCGGGGAAUUUCGUGCAAAUCGAAAACAGUCGCGCUGCGGUAAGAGGGGACAAAGCUUCUUCAUGCUGUUCUGAAGAGCGGCAUGCGACAGCCAGUCGCAUAUGCGGUGAAGGCGAAGCCAAGGCGCGGGCCAUAUGGCCCCACAGCCCUCAAGUCCGAACAUCCGCCGGGGCCGGUGCCCCUUG